CCAGGCCAGGCAAGGGAAAAGCAAUGUUGUCCGAGUUGUGAGACCCCAGAAAAAGACAUAAUUUUCUAGGACAUAGGAACCAUAGGACUACGAGGAUGGUUGAUGUGGACAUGGAAGUGAAAAGGACACCUAAGGCAGUUUUGGCAGAGCCCAGUUGAAACACUUGAAAAUGUAACUCAACAAGUUUUAACAGCUGAAUAUGGAUUUCUCUGACAUCUCCUUUUUAGGUCAAUGAUGGAAGAGCAUACUAUUCAUGUAUUACUGGCUAUGAGGCGAUUGAAUGUGCUGGAAGACCAAAAGAACCAUGAACUUGUUUGAUGAUUGGCUGCCUUCACCAUGCCGGGGGAUGGAGCCAAGAGAUGAAAACUCCAGGAUGAGGAUGUGAGAGGAGACGAUACAACAUCACAUCGAUGACGCUGUGAAGUCAUCAGGAAUAUGAGGAUCUACAUUGCAGUAUGAUUGGCUGCCUUCAUCAUGCCGGGGCAUGGAGCCGAGAGAUGAAAACUCCUCAAUGGAGAUGUGAGAGAAGACACAACAUCACAUCAAUGGCAACUCUGUGGAGUCAUUGGGAAUAUGAAGAUCUACAUUGCAGGAUGCUGUACAGCAUUUGGAUUAGCUGUUCCCCCCGUCUCAGUUGCCUAAGGUUAGUAAACCAUGGGCUAUCAAGUUGCAUUUUCUGUCAACUCAACUCAUACAAAGAAGUGUAUAUUUACAAUUAAUCUGACAUUUUCAAAUUGAGGGGGGGGGGGGGGGGUUGUACCCGUUAUGCAAUUCUGAAUGUAGAAGUAUAUUGUUUUCCUGAUCCAUACAAAAAUAUUCUGGAUGUUUUAUAUUUCACUUCAUUCUUUAUUUAUUUUUUAAAAUAUGCAAACACUAAAAUAUAUACAAAGCAUUUCAAGGUAAAAUGGGGUGUGUAUGUUGUGAGGCAAUGUUUUAAUCACGAAUAGAUAUCUUAUUAAUUAUACAACAGCAAUAUUCUUCUGAUUCUGUUAAUGCUGGUGACAGAAAAUCAUGAAGUAUGGAGACUGCCCUGUGAUGACAAAAGAUGCCUUAUUCAGAAACUGGGGUGUGAACAUCCCAUCAUACACCUUUCUUACAUUCUAAUGCUACUCUUCUCCUGCUCUUGUUUCUCUUUUCUUUCCUUUCCUUAUUUUCCCUCUCAUUCUCUAUGGGAUGUUUGCAGUUUGAACCAGUUUGGUGAGAAUCAAUGUCUGAGGGCACAUUUUGCAAACCAAUUUCGAAAUGGACUUAUGUGCAUUACGAAAUAUUGUAAUGUGGUUAUUGUAGGGACAUCACUCAUAUUAUGUUGCGACUUAUGUGGUGAGAUUUUAGGUAUUAUAUAAGUCACAUGAGAUAUCUUUGACGUUUCGUUAUUUGAUCAUUAAAUUAUUUUUAUUUUUCUCUCUGUCCAAAGCUUGGUCAACAUCGCUGGUUCAUCAGAUCUGAUUCAAAAGAACUGGAGGGCAUUUUAAAGCUAUCUGUGAGAAAAUGCAAGUGGACUUAUAACUCAACUGAAGACAUCUAGAGGACGGCCCCAGUGCUGUAGGAAUUUUAGACCUACAGCUAGUAAACAAUACAACUUUUAAUUUCAAUUUUGCCGCUGUAAGUUGCAUGGGACAUACCCAAAAGUAGGGAGACUCACUCGAGUGAAAACCUGAAUAACUCACUGGCAUUUUGAUAGUGAGCAUUUGCCAAAACCAAUCUUUGAGGUUUUUCAUGCUUAUAAGUGAUUGCUUUCCAAUUCCAAUGAAA
rnacentral:lncRNA from 1 species